rnacentral:rRNA from 1 species
GAUGAACGCUGGCGGCGUGCCUAAUACAUGCAAGUCGAGCGAACAGACGAGGAGCUUGCUCCUCUGACGUUAGCGGCGGACGGGUGAGUAACACGUGGAUAACCUACCUAUAAGACUGGGAUAACUUCGGGAAACCGGAGCUAAUACCGGAUAAUAUAUUGAACCGCAUGGUUCAAUAGUGAAAGACGGUUUUGCUGUCACUUAUAGAUGGUUCCGCGUCGCAUUAGCUAGUUGGUAAGGUAACGGCUUACCAAGGCAACGAUGCGUAGCCGACCUGAGAGGGUGAUCGGCCACACUGGAACUGAGACACGGUCCAGACUCCUACGGGAGGCAGCAGUAGGGAAUCUUCGGCAAUGGGCGAAAGCCUGACGGAGCAACGCCGCGUGAGUGAUGAAGGUCUUCGGAUCGUAAAACUCUGUUAUUAGGGAAGAACAAAUGUGUAAGUAACUAUGCACGUCUUGACGGUACCUAAUCAGAAAGCCACGGCUAACUACGUG